UACGUAGGGUGCGAGCGUUUGUCCGGAUUUAUUGGGCGUAAAGGGCUCGUAGGCGGCUUGUCGCGUCGGGAGUGAAAGCCCGCUGCUUAACGGCGGGUUUGCUUUCGGUACGGGCAGGCUGGAGUACGGCAGGGGAGACUGGAAUUCCUGGUGUAGCAGUGAAAUGCGUAGAGAUGCGGAGGAACACCGAUGGCGAAGGCAGCCCCCUGGGCUAACACUGACGCUCAGGCACGAAAGCGUGGGGAGCAAACAGG
rnacentral:rRNA from 1 species